GAUGAACGCUGGCGGCGUGCUUAACACAUGCAAGUCGAACGGAAAGGCCCUGCUUUUGCGGCGUGCUCGUGUGGCGAACGGGUGAGUAACACGCGAGUAACCUGCCCUUGACUUUCGGAUAACUUCCUGAGACUGGGGCUCAUACCGCAUAGGAGCUCCUGCUGCAUAGUGUGGUUUGGAAACUGUCGGCGGUUGGGGAUCGACUCGCGGCUUAUCGGCUUAUUGGGGUAGUAGUGGCUUACCAAGGAUUUGACGGCUAGCCGGCCUGAGAGGCCGAACGGCGUCCUGGGGCCUGAGAGACGCCCCAGACGCCAACGGGACGCAGCGGUGGGAAAUCUUACACAAUGGGCGGAAGUCUGAUAAAGCAACGCCGCGUGCGGGAUGACGGCCUUCGGGUUGUAAACCGAUUUCGCAUGUGACGAAGCGUGAGUGACGGUAAUGGGUAAAGAAGCACCGGCUAACUACGUG
rnacentral:rRNA from 1 species